UAUAUAUAUAUAUAUAUAUAAGGGUUAAUUUCAUACAUGUCCCUACAAAUAUAGUAAAUGAUAAAUAUAUCCUUAUAAAAUUUAACUUUCGUAUGUUGUUCUUACAAAAAUUCUGAUAUUUUUAAAUACAUUCCUCUGAUUUGUUACCGUUAGAGAACUGUUUAUAUUUUUAAUUUUGGCAUCAUAAAUAUAUUCCUAAAAAAUCAUAACAUUAUAAUAUAAAGAAGUAAAAAUAUCAAAAAUUAAUCGGAGCUAAGUAUUUAACUUAUUGUUAACUAAAUUUUUCUAACGGAUUCUAACGGCAGAGACAUAUUUAAAAAUAUCAGGACUUUUGUAGGAAUAAUAUAUGAAAGUUGAAUUUUGUAGAAAUAUAUUUGCAACUCACAAUGUUUGUAGGGACAUGUAUAAAAUUAACUAGCUUACUGUUUGCUGCUCUAUAGUUUAAAAUGUAGUACUUUAAUAUUGA
rnacentral:lncRNA from 1 species